CGGCGGACGGGUGAGUAACACGUGGAUAACCUACCUAUAAGACUGGGAUAACUUCGGGAAACCGGAGCUAAUACCGGAUAAUAUAUUGAACCGCAUGGUUCAAUAGUGAAAGACGGUUUUGCUGUCACUUAUAGAUGGAUCCGCGUCGCAUUAGCUAGUUGGUAAGGUAACGGCUUACCAAGGCAACGAUGCGUAGCCGACCUGAGAGGGUGAUCGGCCACACUGGAACUGAGACACGGUCCAGACUCCUACGGGAGGCAGCAGUU
rnacentral:rRNA from 1 species